UACGAAGGGUGCAGGCGUUACUCGGAAUUACUGGGCGUAAAGCGUGCGUAGGUGGUUUGUUAAGUCUGAUGUGAAAGCCCUGGGCUCAACCUGGGAAUUGCAUUGGAUACUGGCAGGCUAGAGUGCGGUAGAGGAUGGCGGAAUUCCCGGUGUAGCAGUGAAAUGCGUAGAGAUCGGGAGGAACAUCUGUGGCGAAGGCGGCCAUCUGGACCAGCACUGACACUGAGGCACGAAAGCGUGGGGAGCAAACAGG
rnacentral:rRNA from 1 species